rnacentral:rRNA from 1 species
GACGAACGCUGGCGGCGUGCUUAACACAUGCAAGUCGAACGAUGAAACCGGAGCUUGCUCCGGUGGAUUAGUGGCGAACGGGUGAGUAACACGUGAGUAACCUGCCCUUGACUCUGGGAUAACUGCGGGAAACUGUAGCUAAUACCGGAUACGACCCUCGGAGGCAUCUCCUGGGGGUGGAAAGAAUUUCGGUCAAGGAUGGACUCGCGGCCUAUCAGCUAGUUGGUGAGGUAACGGCUCACCAAGGCGACGACGGGUAGCCGGCCUGAGAGGGUGACCGGCCACACUGGGACUGAGACACGGCCCAGACUCCUACGGGAGGCAGCAGUGGGGAAUAUUGCACAAUGGGCGCAAGCCUGAUGCAGCAACGCCGCGUGAGGGAUGACGGCCUUCGGGUUGUAAACCUCUUUUAGCAGGGAAGAAGCGAAAGUGACGGUACCUGCAGAAAAAACACCGGCUAACUACGUGCCAGCAGCCGCCGUAA